UACGUAGGGAGCAAGCGUUGUCCGGAAUCAUUGGGCGUAAAGCGCGCGUAGGCGGCCCUGUAAGUCCGUUGUGAAAGUCAAAGGCUCAACCUUUGAAAGCCGAUGGAUACUGCAGGGCUAGAGUCCGGAAGAGGCGAGCGGAAUUCCUGGUGUAGCGGUGAAAUGCGCAGAUAUCAGGAGGAACACCAAUGGCGAAGGCAGCUCGCUGGGACGUGACUGACGCUGAGACGCGAAAGCGUGGGGAGCAAACAGG
rnacentral:rRNA from 1 species